AAUAACUUUAAAAGAACAGGCUGUUCUGUUAACAUCUUCAUGUUUGUGUUUUUCUGUAAGUUUGAAGGCUGUUUGAAGUACAACCUGUGAACUUGGCUUGAUUUCCUUCAGUAAUUCCUUUCUUCUUGAAGAAGACAUAUUUAAGUUAUCUGUAUAAACAGAUCAACAUUUUUGCCAUGUAUUGUUUCUGAAGAACUGUUCUUUGAUUUAUUUUUUUUUUUUCUACUGCAGACAGUUUUAUAAUAAAUUGUCUUCAUAGUUGCAAUAAUACAGACUUGUCUCCAAUACCUUUAUUUUAUAGUAAACUUCAACCCAAUCCCACUCAACUUGGAAGUGUCUUGAAAGGCACUUGAAAGGUACAGGGAAAGUGCAUUUCAUGGCUGCACCUAGCAAGAUACAUGGGAUAAAGAUUUUUUUGCUGUGGAGAACACAGUCAAAAUUUGUAUGCUAUAUCUGGGUAUGUUCAACAUGUUUAAUAUAUUCUGCAAGUUUAUAGAGAUGUACUAAACAAUGGUGAUGUAUUCAUAACUACAAAAACAAGGGGAACCAGUUAUUGAUUAGAUAAUAGAAAAGUUACUUGCUUGGUAUAUUUGCAUUUCCUGUUCUUUAUUUAGUCUUAUCUUUUGCUCCUUAAUAGUACUGAACUACUAUCUAGCCCUUUUGUUGGCAUGUUUUACAGGACUGAAUUUUGCUCUAUGACUGCUCUGGUAAGCCUGCCCACGUGUCUUUUUUUCUCUAGGCUCACAUGUUGAAUUUGCAAUGCUAUAAAGUAGAGCUAUUUCAUUAGGAUAAAUAAAAUAUCUUAUCAGGGAUGAAACUUAAGCACUUCAAGAACUUCCUGCACUUCUGAGGGAGCUGUUACUUUCCUGUGACUAUUUACUCCUCACUCAGUCUUUCUUCAGCUAUGCAUUCCUUCCUCUCUGCUGCUCUUUUCAUCUGCUGCUAUACUAAUAAGAUUUUGUGUAGGUGCAGGUGGUAUAAAUUUUGAUUCUUUGCUACUUAAUGCACUGCUCAAUGCAUUUUGUGUAUCAUGUUGAAGAAGGCCUUGCUGGUGGGCAGCAGUAACAAUGAAUGCAUGUUUAUUUUGUCUUGAUCACUGCAUUCUGGAUAAACCUCCUGAGAAGGAUGAGCCUAGUCAUUUCCUCAGAAUGGAUAAGCACACCUGCUGUGAAAGAACUGUGCAGGAUAGGGGCUGGGGAAGUGAAAAAUAUCUCAGGAGCCAGGAUCCUGCGAUGUGAAUCCAUGCUGAGAGAAUGGGUUCUGUUCUGUGCCUAACAGCCAUCUCAAGGCAAACUUUUGGGGUGAUCAAAAGAGUGUCCUGGAAAACUGUGGUAAAAAAACUGGAGCAGCAACUGUGCUGAAUUAUUCAGUUUCUAAAAAACAUUGGAAAGAGGUGGGUUUGUGAGGACUAGAAGAAAACCUCUCUGCUUUCAUCCAAGAGCGUAGUGGUUAUGGAUAGGUUUGCUUCUAAAGCCUUUAAAUGCAGACUUUUCCAAGCGUACUGAGAAAGAAACAUACUUUGUUUUAAUUUUUUUUGUGUGUUUAAUAGACUGAAGGUUUGUAAUGUCUUUCAUCAUGAUGCCUUCUAGAAGAGGUUGGCGUGUUUUUCCCCCUUAAAACUGACAACAACUGGGGUCUCGUCUUCAUUGCCUCUUUAUUCCGCUUCCACAGGAUGUUUUGACUUGCAGGUGUAUUGCCAGGACAAGUCCAUUUUUACUCUGUACCACAGCAGACUAAAUGGCAUAUAAACUAACAAGGAAGUAUCUCAGUUAAAGGUGUAUUUUUGGAAAAAGUAUGUGAAGUGUGAUGCAAUUUUCUGAACUGAUGUUUGCCUUUACAUGUACUUGCAAAAUUACAUUUACUUGCUAAAUUAUCAGUUUAAAGCAGUCGUUGCUGUUUCUGAAGGCUACCUGUAAACAAAUGCAAAUAUUUCUCAGAAUUCACUUUCUUUUUAAAAUAGCCUAUUUAAGAAGACCAUUGAAAGCAGUGCUGAAACUAGUACUUGUUUUGCAAAUGGAAAAUUGUAGAAUAUAUGGCACUCUGUACUGUACUGUACUGGAAACUUGCUGCUACAGCUCAGGACUGAUGGAGAGAAUGCUGGGAACAUGUUUAAGGAAUGAAUUUAACAGUAGCAUGGGCUUACUGCACUAAAAUGAUUGAUCCAAAUCAUUGAAGAGAAGGUAGGAAUAUUCCUUAAAGCUACUUCUAUAAUGAACUGUUUUAACAUAGUGCAAUAUAUCACAAUGGUAAAACAUUUUCUGCUUAACUGGUAGAAAGUGUGAUGAACGGCAACUGGUGACAGGAAACGUGGUGAAUUGAGUAGCUUUGGGCUGGAAAUACUAAAAUAAUUUGCUUAAGAACAUUCUGAACCUACGCUGUGAGUUUUCAACAAUCACUGGAAAGCUGGGAAAAGUUCAGGAGACUCUAUGGGUAAGGGGAAAUGUUAAAAUUGUUUCUGUGUUUAGGAAAAGGUAAGUAGAAAGAUUAAGAGCGAGGCCAGCCACGGUAACUGUAUUGUGCAACCUAUGAUCUCAGUCAACUUGUCAGAAACUUUAUUUGGGCCACUUUGGGGAGGAAGUGUGGUUGGGAUAAAAGUUGUUUUUUUACUAUCUCUGCAGAGCAGGAAGGGAGAAACUUGACACAAACUUGUAGAAGAAAUAGAAGCAUCAACAUGUUUCAAAGGUAUCCUCACUGCUUCCUGCUGGAAAGGGAUUUCAGACUGUGAAUUUCAUUUUGAGUCUUUUUUCAGAGGCUACUGGUUGCUCAAAAGUAUGUCUGCAAAGGGAACCCUUGUCUCCUAUCAGAAUGGCCAGGAUCUGCAGGCGAGUAGAAGGAACCACAUUUAUUUGGAAUAAGUGAAGAAAGACAGAGGACACUUGAAAUAGCUGGCAGGCUUUCAAGACAGAAAGAAUAUUUAUUUUUCGGGGGAAUGAGGAAAGUUGCUGUUAACUUCUUGACAUGAAAACGUUUCUGGUGUUACAAGGCUUGGGUCCUUCCUUCUGCACAUUCGUUUGAUCAGAUGGAUGAGUGCUACCAGAGGUACAAAUAUACAAGGAAGAGCAGCCAAAAGCACACAGAUGGCCUGUACCCAAGGUGGAUAGACUUUCUGUUCCUUCAUAGGGAAGUGUUCCUAUGGAGAUUUAAAAAAAAAAAUAAAAAAAUAAACAAAAAAAACCACAGAAGUGAAAAUAAAUAAAGUCGUUAGGGCACUUACAUUUCUAUGAUUUCCAUAUAUGUUUAAAGAUAGCAGAAGUUUUAUUUUUCCUCUAUGAUAGCAUUCAGUAGCCAUAUCCUCUGGCGUCACUUCUUGUGAGUCUAAAUAUAACUGUAAAUUUUUUUAAUAGUUUUUCUUUUGUAGAUCUUAUUCCAGUCUCUGCCUCUAUUCACACUAGAGAGGCUCAUGACAAUCUUUGAG